UGUAAAGCACUUAGUACCUGGGGCAUCAUACCAGCUCAGAAGCUGCUGGCUCUUUUAUUAUUAUUGCUAUUGUUGCUUCGUUAUCAUCAGCAUUAAUGUUGUCAUCCUCAAGGGAAGAGCAAUUAUUUCAAAGGGAAAGUAUAAUGGCCUUGAUAAUCUUCAGUGAUCAGUUCACAGUAUUCCUCCUGUUAAUCAAAAGCUUGGCAGUUUGGGUCACGUGGUUCUAAUGACACAGGUGCUCCUGACAGAAUUAGCAAAAAAGGAAAGUAAAAUAAAGCAGCAUUUGGUGCCCUACUUUUCUCCAGUACGGUUUACAUGUUCUCCUAAUUAAAUUUUUGAGUAAACUUCGUUCCACAGCCGUGCUGGGUUUACUCAGAUGCACUAUAGAAUGAUUCACAGCCUUGAUAGAAACUUCUCCGCUCUCGGUGCCAAAUGCCUUGCUGUAGGUGCAACAUGAGAAUUCAUCUAUUAUUUUACCUUCGCUUAAUUAAUUCCACUGCCAGCUACCUGUUGAUGAUGGGGGUCUGUUGGCAAUGCUGAACAAAGUCUUAAGUCAAAGAGUUUUAAUAACAUGUUUACUGCUGGGUGGUCUGCCACUUUUGAUUAAACUUCAUGAGGAUUUAUAACCAUGUCUCCCCCCACAUGUCUGUAACCUUUAAGGGAUGUCUGAUACAAAGCAAAGGUCAUGGGUUCCAAAAGCCCUUCUUCUAAUAAAUAUGUUAGACAGCUGAUCCUGAACAUGCAGUGGUUUCUCAUCCUUUCUCCACCCUCCCCCCACUUGCUUUUUACAGCAAUUCUCAACAAGGAUAAAAAUUAACGCGAAAAGAAUUAAUGGUUUAAUUUUGCAAGAGCAAAGAGAGCGUUUACGAUGUCUCACUGGGGAAAGGGGCUUCUGUCUUUGCUGAUGACCCAAACGUGUCUGCCAAGGAGAAAUAUGGUGUCCAGUCUCCCAUUGAACUGCCACAGGAAUGGAUUGGCCGUGGCUACUGGCUUGACAGGAUUCAUAUUCUCUGCAAUUUCUCAUUGAUUAGUCCAGGGCUGAUCUUAUUGAAGGCUGAACAAGGACCUCCAGGAAUUGAAGAAACACAAAAAUGAAUGUGAUUCUGGAUUUCAUCGUAUCUACUGAGCCUGACGUGGUAACUUUGCUAACAUUUGUGAGUGGCAAUUCCUAAGCACCAGCACAAAGCUGGGAAGCUUCUGGCAAUUUUAAGAAAGACUCUGAAGUUCAAUAAUAAAAGUUUAUUGAAUGCACCUCUGAUUUUCUUG
rnacentral:lncRNA from 1 species